rnacentral:tRNA from 1 species
GGGGCUGUAGCUCAGCUGGAAGAGCGCCUGCAUGGCAUGCAGGAGGUCGUGGGUUCAAGUCCCAUCAGCUCCA